ACGCACGUGUGAAACUUGAAGGAAUUGACGGAAGGGCACCACAAGAACGCGUGGAGCAUGUGGCUUAAUUUGACCCAACGCGGGAAAUCUUACCGGGUCCGGACACACUGAGGAUUGACAGGCAAUAUUAAUACAUAUACAAAAUUAUUUAUUUAGUUUUGUUUUAUGUAUUAUGUUAAAUAUGCUAGUCCUUUCAUGAUUAUGUGAUAGGUGGUGCAUGGCCGUUCUUAGUUCGUGGAGUGAUCUGUCUGCUUAAUUGCGUUUCACUAAGGGCUUAUAAAUUUACGUGCGUUGUGAGUACUUUGACCCCUACAUUGAAAUAUAUGUAGUGCGUGUCUCAGUUUGCUUCACUCGCACAAUUAAGUCCUGAAAGCAACGAACGUGACCG
rnacentral:rRNA from 1 species